UUUGACCUCGGAUCAGGUAGGGAUACCCGCUGAACUUAAGCAUA
rnacentral:rRNA from 10 species